AAGUCGUAACAAGGUCUCCGUAGGUGAACCUGCGGAGGGAUCAUUAACACGUUUUUAUUAACGUUCCCACCAAACAAAAGGAAACGAAAGAGGAGGAAAGUGAAAACGAUCCAAAUCUUAGCUAAGCUCCCUACCAACGUACGUGUACAGAAGUAGGCUAUUCUUUUAUUAACCCCUUUCCAACUAGAUUUUGAGAUUCUCUCAAGAUCGACUAACUUGCCCUGUAUCUAGUAGUGUAGGAAUUGAUAAUAAAAUAAUAAUUAAUUUUAUUAAUUUUAUUCUUUUUUCCUUUCCCUUCUAGCUUGAUAUUUAAAUGCAAAGCACAACUCUUAGCAACGGAUAUCUUGGUUCUC
rnacentral:misc_RNA from 1 species